GGUCAAUGAUGAAUAGUAAAAGGUCUGACUCCCCAGAUCCCCUCCCUGCAUCCUGACCAUCCCCAGCCGCCUCUCUUCCAACAGGCUCCAGUAGUGCUAUGAUGGGCAAAAGGGCAGCUGACACUCAGUGAUGUCCCCGUUCAGUGUUCCUUGUUGAGCCCAAGGAAGACACAGUGGUUGGCAUCCGACAACUUAGUCACAAAGGGAUUUGAUUGUUGGGAGCGCUGGUAUCUGUGGUUAUGAUCUGACAUUUCAAGCUGAGACC